ACGCUGGCGGCAGGCUCAUACUGCAGUUAGCGGUCUUCGGGACAGCGGCGAACGGGUUAGUAACGCGUGGGAACGUGCCCUUUAUACGGAAUAGCCAUUGGAAACGAUGAUUAAUACCGUAUACGCCCCAAGGGGGAAAGAUUUAUCGCUAAAGGAUCGGCCCGCGUUAGAUUAGGUAGUUGGUAGGGUAACGGCCUACCAAGCCGACGAUCUAUAGCUGGUUUGAGAGGAUGAUCAGCAACACUGGGACUGAGACACGGCCCAGACUUCUACGGAAGGCAGCAGUAGGGAAUCUUGGACAAUGGGCGAAAGCCUGAUCCAGCCAUGCCGCGUGAGUGAUGAAGGCCCUAGGGUUGUAAAGCUCUUUCGCCAGGGAAGAUAAUGACGGUACCUGGUAAAGAAACCCCGGCUAACUCCGUGCCAGCAGCCGCGGUAAUACGGAGGGGGUUAGCGUUGUUCGGAAUUACUGGGCGUAAAGCGCACGUAGGCGGAUUAAUAAGUCAGGGGUGAAACUCCCGAGGCUCAACCUCGGAACUGCCUUUGAUACUGUUAGUCUUGAGUUCGAGAGAGGUGAGUGGAAUUCCGAGUGUAGAGGUGAAAUUCGUAGAUAUUCGGAGGAACACCAGGUGGCGAAGGCGGCUCACUGGCUCGAUACUGACG
rnacentral:rRNA from 1 species